CUCCCACCCUUGUGUAUUUUUCGCUGAAAAGCAGCUUCGGCGGGCCGUCAGACCUUAGCGAUAGGGUUCUGACAUCGGCUCUGUGCGAAUUUGCGUCCGCCGAAGAACCAACUCUUUACAAUUUGAAGUCUGAUAAACAGAAAAUAAAUCAAAACUUUCAACAACGGAUCUCUUGGUUCUGGCAUCGAUGAAGAACGUAGCGAAAUGCGAUAAGUAAUGUGAAUUGCAGAAUUCAGCGAAUCAUCGAAUCUUUGAACGCACAUUGCGCCUCCGGGUAUUCCUGGAGGCAUGCCUGUUCGAGCGUCGUUAAAGACCAUAAGGCUUUGCCUUGCGAUGAGCUUCUGGCGGUCUCUCCGGAGAAGCCAGUUCCUUCAAACUGAUUGGCGUCUGAAGUUAGUCCAAGCACAGCAAAAUGUGUUCUGAGUCUUAUGAACGAUUGCCCGUACCCAAAUCAUUAAUUGGUCGACCUCGGAUCAGGCAAGAUUACCCGCUGAACUUAAGCAUAUCAAUAAGCGGAGGAAAAGAAACCAACAGGGAUUGCCUCAGUAACGGCGAGUGAAGCGGCAAGAGCUCAAAUUUUAAAUCUGCCUUUUAGGCCGAGUUGUAAUUUGUAGAGGAACGUUCGGUGACGUCUAGGUCCGAGUCUUCUGGAAGGAAGCGCCGAUGAGGGUGAGAGCCCCGUACGACCAACGACUUAGCCAUGUGAACGUCCUUCGAAGAGUCGAGUUGUUUGGGAAUGCAGCUCANAGCGGGUGGUAAAUUCCAUCUAAAGCUAAAUAUUGGCCAGAGACCGAUAGCGCACAAGUAGAGUGAUCGAAAGAUGAAAAGCACUUUGGAAAGAGAGUGAAAAAGUACGUGAAAUUGUUGAAAGGGAAGCGCUCGCGACCAGACUUGAUCGUUCAGU
rnacentral:rRNA from 1 species